UNGAAGACAGCAUGGUUCUAGGUACCAC
rnacentral:piRNA from 1 species